CGCGGCCUAUCAGCUUGUUGGUGGGGUAAUGGCCUACCAAGGCGACGACGGGUAGCCGGCCUGAGAGGGCGACCGGCCACACUGGGACUGAGACACGGCCCAGACUCCUACGGGAGGCAGCAGUGGGGAAUAUUGCACAAUGGGCGGAAGCCUGAUGCAGCGACGCCGCGUGAGGGAUGACGGCCUUCGGGUUGUAAACCUCCUUCAGUAGGGACGAAGCGCGAGUGACGGUACCUACAGAAGAAGCGCCGGCCAACUACGUGCCAGCAGCCGCGGUAAGACGUAGGGCGCGAGCGUUGUCCGGAUUUAUUGGGCGUAAAGAGCUCGUAGGCGGCUUGUCGCGUCGGCUGUGAAAUCCCGUGGCUCAACUGCGGGUCUGCAGCCGAUACGGGCAGGCUAGAGUUCGGUAGGGGAGACUGGAAUUCCUGGUGUAGCGGUGAAAUGCGCAGAUAUCAGGAGGAACACCGAUGGCGAAGGCAGGUCUCUGGGCCGAUACUGACGCUGAGGAGCGAAAGCGUGGGGAGCGAACAGGAUUAGAUACCCUGGUAGUCCACGCUGUAAACGUUGGGCGCUAGGUGUGGGGGACCUCUCCGGUUCUCUGUGCCGCAGCUAACGCAUUAAGCGCCCCGCCUGGGGAGUACGG
rnacentral:rRNA from 1 species